UACGUAGGGAGCAGCGUUGUCCGGAAUCAUUGGGCGUAAAGCGCGCGUAGGUGGCCCGGUAAGUCCGCUCUGAAAGUCACAGGCUCAACCUGUGAAAGCGGGUGGAUACUGCCGGGCUAGAGUCCGGAAGAGGCGAGUGGAAUUCCUGGUGUAGCGGUGGAAUGCGCAGAUAUCAGGAGGAACACCAACGGCGAAGGCAGCUCGCUGGGACGGUACUGACACUGAGGCGCGAAAGCGUGGGGAGCGAACAGG
rnacentral:rRNA from 1 species